UGGGGAAUAUUGGACAAUGGGGGCAACCCUGAUCCAGCCAUGCCGCGUGAGUGAAGAAGGCCUUCGGGUUGUAAAGCUCUUUUGGCGGGGACGAUGAUGACGGUACCCGCAGAAUAAGCCCCGGCUAACUUCGUG
rnacentral:rRNA from 1 species